GACGAACGCUGGCGGCGUGCUUAACACAUGCAAGUCGAACGGAAAGGCCCUGCUUUUGUGGGGUGCUCGAGUGGCGAACGGGUGAGUAACACGUGAGUAACCUGCCCUUGACUUUGGGAUAACUUCAGGAAACUGGGGCUAAUACCGGAUAGGAGCUCCUGCUGCAUGGUGGGGGUUGGAAAGUUUCGGCGGUUGGGGAUGGACUCGCGGCUUAUCAGCUUGUUGGUGGGGUAGUGGCUUACCAAGGCUUUGACGGGUAGCCGGCCUGAGAGGGUGACCGGCCACAUUGGGACGGAGAUACGGCCCAGACUCCUACGGGAGGCAGCAGUGGGGAAGAAUGCACAAUGGGCGGAAGCCUGAUGCAGCAACGCCGCGUGCGGGAUGACGGCCGUCGGGUUGUAAACCGCUUUCGCCUGUGACGAAGCGUGAGUGACGGUAAUGGGUAAAGAAGCACCGGCUAACUACGUG
rnacentral:rRNA from 1 species